rnacentral:rRNA from 1 species
UACGAAGGUGGCAAGCGUUGUUCGGAUUCACUGGGCGUACAGGGAGCGUAGGCGGUUGGGUAAGCCCUCCGUGAAAUCUCCGGGCCUAACCCGGAAAGUGCAGAGGGGACUGCUCGGCUUUGAGGACGGGAGAGGAGAGUGGAAUUCCUGGUGUAGCGGUGAAAUGCGCAGAUAUCAGGAGGAACACCAAUGGCGAAGGCAGCUCGCUGGGACGGUACUGACGCUGGAGGCGCGAAAGCGUGGGGGAGCAAACAGG